UACGUAGGUGGCAAGCGUUGUCCGGAUUUAUUGGGUUUAAAGGGUGCGUAGGCGGCCCUGUAAGUCAGUGCUGAAAUAUCCCAGCUUAACUGGGAGGGUGGCAUUGAUACUGCGGGGCUAGAGUACAGAUGAGGUAGGCGGAAUUAACGGUGUAGCGGUGAAAUGCUUAGAUAUCGUCAAGAACACCUAUAGCGAAGGCAGCUUACUAGGCUGUAACUGACGCUGAGGCACGAAAGUGUGGGGAUCAAACAGG
rnacentral:rRNA from 1 species